AUUCACUUAACAACCAUGUUAUUAAUUGCAGUGAUUCACUUAACAACUGUGGUAGGAAAGCUUCCUGAAAACUGUUGUGCUAUGUUCAUCACAAGGUAUAAUUGAUUAUUCAUGAGAAGUGGAAGCCUGAUCCUCUCUUUGUGGAGAUACAAGCUAUCCAGAGCCAUUGAUGAUUGGGACACCCUCAAAAAUAAAAAGAUGAAAUAAGUAAAUUCCUCUCAGCUCCUCGGCAGUCUGCUCUGGGAAUCAAAACAAACCUACAGCAUCCUUCAUUAUCUAUCCUGAUGGCAUUGCUGCUUCUUCCCAGAUAAUAUUUCUCCAGUCCAAUAAUCUCACCAUGGGUUCCAAUAUCAAGGAUGGAAACUUACUGGCAAGAGAACAGAAUGAAGCUAUGGCAUAUUGGAUCUCAUUCUGGGGUCAGAGACAAUAAAGAUGUUUGUGACAAACACCCCCUUUUAUGUCCUUCCAUAUGCAGUCAUAUUUCAUGGAAGCUGCAAGAGAGAUUCAUACAUACACUGGACCAGAUCCAAGUCAGUAAUAUUUUAAGGAACCAUGGAGGGGCAUGAAGGCAGAUCACCUCUUUCUUCAAGUGGAUACAAUGGAUAUGGGUAGCAGGGCCAAAUAAAUAGACUCCCAAUUUCUAGGAGGUGAUCCAAAGAUGACUGUCAUCUAAAGUAGUGAGAGUGAGAGCUGGAUGCCCAUGUUCCAACCUGUUCAAAUAUAUAUUACCACUCCAAUAUACAGUGCUGACCAAUGCUAAUUUUCACCAAAAUACUUUCCACACAGAUAAGUUGAAGUUUGGAAGAACAGUUUUGAAAUGAGGAAGGAAGGAAACUUGAAACCAACAAGAGCAAACUUAAACAUCCAUGAAGCAAAGAGAAAGUGACUAGCCCAACAUCAUCCAGCUGGCUUCAUACCUAAAGUGGGACCAGAACUCCAAGUCUCCCAAUUUAAAGCCUGGUGUCUUAACCACUACCUCAAAUUGGUUCUCUUUAGGACUGAUGCUUGCUUCCCAUUGAAGAAAGUGGAGAAGCUGAGGGAAGUAGAGGGAUUGGAAGAUGUUUUAGAAGUUGUUGUUUUAUUCUUUUUCAAUACAGGUAGUCUUUGACUUAUGAUUGUAAUUGAGCCUGGGAUUAUGGUUGUAGGCCAUACUGAUCAUCUUUCCAAAGUCAUGCAAGGUUUUCAAAAUCUCAAAAAGCCCAGCAUGGAUAAUCAGUAUUUAGAACAGAAGCUACUUCAAAGUUCAUCUAGUUGCAUAACAAGGUCUCAUGGAACAGAGAGUUUAUGUUUAUAUUUCAGACCUGGGGCAGAGAAGCAAUUUUGAAAUCUCUAAAUCACUGACCAGAUCCACAUAUGGAUAACGAUCCAAGUUGAAUGUGGAUCGUUUGGGUCCACUUAGAAAUCCAUGAGCUUGCCAGAUUCCUGAUUCCUUGCUAGAUUCCUGAUCAGAUGGGCCAAGGACCAGAAAUGGAAAACUCAAGCAAUUUGAAAACUCAGCAGCAGUCAUCUUCUCAUAGUGGAAGUAAGAGGAAAAUGUUGCUUCCUUCCUUGUAGACCUUAUACCUUAUACCAUAAAUUGUUGUUGUGGCAAGUAAGGGAACCCUUUGAACAGUGAGAGGCAACAGUGGGAAUCAGCAGAGAUCACAUCUGUACCCUGUCUCUUUCUUUCAGUGCUGAUCCUUGCUGGAUCCAUAUGCUUUAAUUAUAAGCGGAAGGACCUUUUCCUUUCAUGAAUGAUUAAACUCCAUGUUAGUUAAUAUAAAUAUUACAAAAGGAUAAAUUAUUCUGUGACAGCGAAAACACACCACCCAAGAGUUAUGUAGCAUGCAGCACAUGUUCUUUCUAGACCAGGGCUUUUCAACCU